UAAGAACACAAGUUGCAUGCGAAUGCAG
rnacentral:piRNA from 1 species